rnacentral:rRNA from 1 species
UACGGAGGGGGCGAGCGUUGUCCGAAGUUACUGGGCGUAAAGGGCGCGUAGGCGGGGCGAGCAGUCCGCUGUGAAAGUCCGAGGCUUACCCUCGGAAGGCCGGUGGAUACUCUCGCUCUUGAAGCAGCUAGGGGGAGAUGGAAUUACCGGUGGAGCGGUGAAAUGCGUAGAGAUCGGUAGGAACACCAGUGGCGAAGGCGGUCUCCUGGGGCUGACUUGACGCUGAGGCGCGAAAGCUGGGGGAGCCAACGGG